CUGAGGCAGAGGAGGAGUGUGGGCCGCCAGAUAAACGACAAAGGAAGGCAGUGCAUCACUUUGGGGACUCUGAUGAGAGUGAAGAUGGUGGCCAAUUGCACUGGCAGACUCCAACAUCUCGCCGAGGGCCAGGCAGCAGCAGCAGAGUCUCUCCUCGACUUGAGGAAAACUGUCUAGCACCUCACCAUGGGGCAGGACCGCAACAACCGUUGCC